rnacentral:sRNA from 1 species
GUUUGUGCUUGUCGGGGAAGGUUAAGAACCUUCGAUUAAGGUUCGACUCGAGCGAAAGCGAGAGAACGUUGCCAACGGCAACGGCCCGAAGGGUGAGGAGCGAAGCGACGAAUAAUCCUUCCCCCACCACCA